rnacentral:rRNA from 1 species
CCUACGGGAGGCUGCAGUGGGGAAUAUUGGGCAAUGGGCGCAAGCCUGACCCAGCAACGCCGCGUGAAGGAAGAAGGCUUUCGGGUUGUAAACUUCUUUUGUCAGGGACGAAGCAAGUGACGGUACCUGACGACUACGCCACGGCUAACUACGUGCCCGCAGCCGCGGUAAUCAGGGGGGGGGAAGCGUUAUCCGGAUUUACUGGGUGUAAAGGGCGUGUAGGCGGGACUGCAAGUCAGAUGUGAAAACCACGGGCUCAACCUGUGGCCUGCAUUUGAAACUGUAGUGCUUGAGUACUGGAGAGGCAGACGGAAUUCCUAGUGUAGCGGUGAAAUGCGUAGAUAUUAGGAGGAACACCAGUGGCGAAGGCGGUCUGCUGGACAGCAACUGACGCUGAGGCGCGAAAGCGUGGGGAGCAAACAGGAUUAGAUACCCUUGUAGUC